UGAGGAUGAAGACAUUCGCAAGAUGAGGAUUAAAAACGUACACCGAAAGGACUUUGCCCCCAAACAAGUAUUCAAGGGUGUGUGGAGUACACUUCCCUGACGCCAGACCAACGCAGGAACACCCAUGAAUAUAGUAAAGCACCAUCAUGUGGAAGACCACCCCAAAGAGGAGAUGUCUCCAGCCCCCAACAGAGAGACCAUGUGAUGAGCCUCCUGUGACAGAUUCUGACACCGAAGUAGGGCAUAGCUUGGAGGAUAGUCUGUCUUCACACCAAUGUGAUGUUGGCACUCAGUGGCCAGAGCGUAGUGAUCAUGAUUAUUGUUCGAUGAAGUCAACAAAAGAUGCAAGCACACAAACAGAUCCUACACUAUCACUGUCAGCUCAUGACAUGGAUGAUAAAGUGUCAAAAUUUUAUACUGGACUAGACAUCAUCAGCUUUUGGCAACUUUUGAACACCAUCAUUGGCUUUCUUCCACAGUCGAAGACGUUCAAAUUACCAGUCCAUGAACAGCUACUGCUGGUCCUAAUGAGGCUUCGGCUUGGCUACAGCCUGUGAUAUGUUCGCAAUGUGGAGAGCAACACUUGCCAAUUUCACAAGGGAAAAUCUUAUGUUUUGGCUCCCUCGAGACACUCUGAAUAGAGUAAGACCCUCAAGUUUUCUUGAACACUAUCCCAAUGCAACAUGCAUCAUAGAUUGCACUGAAAUAUUUGUCCAAAGACCGAAGAACUUGGAGAAAAGAGCAAAAACAUACAGCAACUAUAAGCAUCACAACACCUACAAACUCCUCUAUUGCAUAGCCCCCAAUGGUUUUGUGAUGUAUGUGUCAAAACUGUUUGGUGGCAGAGCUAGUGACACUUUUAUCACAAACUGUGGAUUUCUGUCACAUUUGAUUUUUGGUGAUCAGAUUUUGACAGACCGGGGAUUCACAAUUGGAGAUGUUCUUCCUCCAGGAGUGACAUUGGCUAUUCCAGCAUUUACACGUGGAUGUACACAACUAUCAGAACAUGAAGUCACAAGAACCCGCCGUCUCGCCAAUGUCCGAAUUCAUGUUGAACGUGCAAUAAGAAGGUUAAAAUGCUUCAAAAUUUUGAGUAAUGUAAUUUCAGGUUGAUUAAAACAUGUUGAUGACAUUUUGA